CAACCCGGGGGACGGGCGGGGGGUCCUGCUGCCCCUCAGCAGGCCCGCAGUUCCCUACCGGCCCUCGCGGCACCGCGGGGCCCCGGUCAGACCCAGCCCCGCUGUGAAGGAUGGGGCAGCGCGGGGCUGUUUCUGUAAAUCCGCCUGCUUUAGUCCGUGCUCAUUGUGUGCGGUGGGAGAGGCGGGAAGCAUGUGUGGAAGAGACCUGACAUGGUUGGGGCUCCGGCCGUGCUCAGCUGAUCUCAUCUGACAGCACCUCUGGGUAUCCCCAGCGCCCUGCCUUGGCCAACACAUAAGGGUGCUUUUGCUGCCCCUUCUUCCGAAUGGCGAAUAUAAUUUUCACGGGGCUGUGUCAAGCCCAGGACAGGCACAGAACGGCAGAUUCCAAAUCCCCGGUGUAUGCAUGUGCCAUAUCACAAUUCUGCUUGUCACCAUAAUAAGAACUUCAUUCAUCUGCCUUAAAAUGUCAUUGAUAACAACCUGGCAGUGGCCCAGCUUGGAGCAAGUUAACUACAAAAGGCUGCAUUGUAAACCUUUCUGAGAGUACAUGCUACAUUAAGUCUAAAAUUAAAAAAAAAAAGAGAGAGAGAGAAAGAGAGAAAUGUGCAGGCUGGUCCGAGCUGCACAUAACUGCCAAAGAGCUUCAAACCUCUGAAAAAAAAAAUUGAGCUCUGUGGAGAGGAGUUCUGGCUGCAAAUGGGAUAGUUUGGAAUGAAGGAUGCAUUCUGCUCACUCUAAAACCUUUGAGGUGCACUGAAUUUAUAAACCUCAUCUUAAAAUGAGAGGGAAUGUCUUGCUGAACCACAAGCAGCUAAAUGAGAGCUUGUACAUGGAAGGAUCUUGUUAUUUCCUUUGGUCUCUGCUUUCUUCGAGUGGCUGCCCGGGAUAAAAACUACAGUCUGAAAAUAGUCACAGGCCUCUGGGACUUAACUGCUGGAACACUGUGAGGGAGUUUGUCUUGGUUAUAAAAACCUUCCCUGACCCCAGCUGCAGCCUGUGCACCAAAUGCAUUUAUGCUCCCAUAGGGUCACAAUGCCAGGAGGGUCUUCACACUGAAGUUCAAGUGCCUGGUCUUUGUGCCGUUUCCUCUGGAGGUACCUCAGCUGCUCCUUGCUCUGUGAUCCUGUGUAUGGGCUUCACAUUCAUGGAGAUUUAGAGCUUCUUGCCUUGGACUCUCCUUAAAACUAUUACAAAUGCAGCUUGUAGCCUGGGUGAGGGUGAACUGAGCUGCUCAGGAAACAGAGGCGGAGGUUGUGAACUUUAUGGAGGGAAGCUCCCAGGGAAUCUCCCUGUGUUGCACGUGAGGGCUGUGGGUUUUGGUACAGCCCCUGACUAACCCAGCCAGCCUCACUGAACAAUUUAACAGCUGAGCAGAACUAGAAGCUUUAAGGCAACUUCAUCCAAGGUCUUCUGGGAGCACUGUAAGCAUGCAGUAAAAUACCGUGGUUCCCAUCCUACACUCCAGAGAUGAAAAAGGCUCUGAUGGUGUGGGGAAGGGCUUGCUCACAACUGUGUAGUCUGAUUUCUUAACUGGAAUAGGG
rnacentral:lncRNA from 1 species